AGAGUUUGAUCAUGGCUCAGGAUGAACGCUAGCGGCAGGCCUAACACAUGCAAGUCGAGGGGUAGAUAGUGCUUGCACUAUUGAGACCGGCGCACGGGUGCGUAACGCGUAUGCAACCUACCUCCUACAGGGGAAUAGCCCAGGGAAACUUGGAUUAAUGCCCCAUAGCCUAUGAUGAUAGCAUUGGAGACAUAGUAAAGAUUUAUCGGUAGAAGAUGGGCAUGCGUCCUAUUAGCUAGAUGGUGCGGUAACGGCGUACCAUGGCAACGAUAGGUAGGGGCCCUGAGAGGGGGAUCCCCCACACUGGUACUGAGACACGGACCAGACUCCUACGGGAGGCAGCAGUGAGGAAUAUUGGACAAUGGAGGGAACUCUGAUCCAGCCAUGCCGCGUGCAGGAAGACUGCCCUAUGGGUUGUAAACUGCUUUUGUACGGGAAGAAACACCUCUACGUGUAGAGGCUUGACGGUACCGUAAGAAUAAGGAUCGGCUAACUCCGUGCCAGCAGCCGCGGUAAUACGGAGGAUCCAAGCGUUAUCCGGAAUCAUUGGGUUUAAAGGGUCCGUAGGUGGACGGUUAAGUCAGAGGUGAAAUCCUGCAGCUCAACUGUAGAAUUGCCUUUGAUACUGGUCGUCUUGAGUUAUUAUGAAGUGGUUAGAAUAUGUAGUGUAGCGGUGAAAUGCAUAGAUAUUACAUAGAAUACCGAUUGCGAAGGCAGAUCACUAAUAAUCAACUGACACUGAUGGACGAAAGCGUGGGGAGCGAACAGGAUUAGAUACCCUAGUAGUCC
rnacentral:rRNA from 1 species